AAACAACGAUAGCCCAUGCACUUGCUACCCGCCCGGGAACUACGAGCCCCAGCUUGAAACCCAAAGGACUUGGCGGUGCUUAAGAUCCACCUAGAGGAGCCUGUUCUAUAACCGAUAACCCCCGUUCCACCUCACCUUUUCUUGUUUUUACCGUCUAUAUACCGCCGUCGUCAGCCCACCCUGUGAAGGACUUAUAGUAAGCACAAUUGGCACAACCCAAAACGUCAGGUCGAGGUGUAGCGAAUGAAAAGGAAAGAAAUGGGCUACAUUCUCUACUCAAGAGCACACGAAAUAGGAAUUGAAAAAUCUCUUAGAAGGAGGAUUUAGUAGUAAGGAGUGAAUAGAGCGCACC
rnacentral:rRNA from 1 species